rnacentral:rRNA from 1 species
AAAUAGGAUUCCCUUAGUAAUGGCGAACGAAGGGGGAACAGCUUGGGUUGGAAACUAAGGCUUCGGUCUUGGGUUGUGACCUGCAGACACAGCACCAACAGCGGCGCAAGCGUAAGCCUCUUGGAAAAGAGCAUUCACUCGGGUGAGAAUCCUGUGCGUCGCUUGACGUCCGCUGCGUACGGUGCGUGCUCUUAAAGUCACGCUCCUUGGAAUUGGAGCGUAAAUUAGGUGGUAAAUUUCAUCUACAGCGAAAUAUAAGCUCGAGACCGAUAGCAAACAAGUACCAUGAGGGAAAGAUGAAAAGGACUUUGGAAAGAGAGUUAAAAGUGCUUGAAAUCGCUGAAGGGGAAGCGAAUGGAACCAAGACCCUGGCUGAGACUGCUGCGAGUUUUCACUAGCCUUGUGUGUGAAUGCGUAAGCUUUUCGCACAUACGUGAAGGAAUGCUCGCGGUGUUUCUCAGCUUGCUCGUCAGCUGCAACGCUCGCUUGAGGAUGGCCCUUGUCGCGCGCGGCUCUUCUGCGGAAUUGCUUCGGCGCCUCUGGGGAUUCAGGCGAGCGUGUCUUGCUGAUUAAAUGGUUCUCUUCGACCCGUCUUGAAACACGGACCAAGGAGUCUAGCACAUGUGCAAGUUCUCGGGCGACAAGCCAGUGAGCAUAAUGAAGGUGACUGCUGGGAUGCUUUGCGCUAGCAACCGACUAAUCAAUUGGGAGAAGUUUGAGUCAGAGCGUGUGUGUUAGGACCCGAAAGAUGGUGAACUAUGCCUGCGAA